GGGGUUGUAGCUCAGUGGUAGAGCACUCACCUAGCAUGUGUGAGGCACUGGGUUGGAUCCUCAGCACCA
rnacentral:tRNA from 1 species